rnacentral:misc_RNA from 1 species
CUCUAAUCCGACAUAUAUAUAUAUAGAUUUCAUCAUUUGACAGAGGUACCAAUUAUAUAGUUUUAUAUGAUAAUUAUAUUAUAUAUACAUAGUUGAAUUGCAAUCUCUGCCAAAUGAUGAAGUGCUAAAUUUGGACACUGUUAUUAAUUAAACCCAUGGAAACAAUAGAAAAGGAGUUUUUCAACAACAAUUUAUAACAAAUAAUUUGCUGUAGAAACAUUUAUAUUGCAAAUUAUUUAUUUUAUGGUACACUAAACUUUAUGAAUGUAGCGGUACAUGUCGACAAAAGUCAUCAUGGUUUUUGCCCAGCAAAUCCGCUACACAAGAAACCGUGUUUACUCAAACACGAGCUAAUUAUAGAUAUAUCGACCUUAGGCGGUUCCGAUCAUUAGGCCAAAUCCGUCGUUUUUGCCGUGACCAUAGGCUCGUGAGUCAGCUACCCAAAAAACCAACAAUUGUAAACAGGUCGCGAGCUCGGCGCCCGUUGGGACGUUUCGAGAACAUUCUCGAAAUUCAAAUCCCAACACUUGUCGUCAACUCCGGCGGAUAUAAAUAUAGCGGACAGGGUAGCGACGCAUCCUUAGUUACCGAGAGAUUCGAGCAGCGACAUUUAACCGAUACUUCUUUGCGCCGAUCGAUUAGCGACAGCGAAACGAAACAGCAAGUAUAUUGUACGACUAGUGUAAGCAUCGGGUAUAUUCUAAUAAACUACGUAGUUAGGAUUGAUCUGUCUCGUUACCUUUAUAUGUGGAUAUAAAUUAAAAUGUUUUACAUAAUCCGAAAGGUAUUCUCGAAUUACGCUAUGAUGAACAAAUGAUGGCCCUUCGUCAUGUGUCAUUGGAAAAUCAGGUCGCUAAAUGUAAGAUCAUUCAUGCAGAAAUCAACACCGAAGACCCGGAGUAUUGCGUAAAGGAUGUGAACAAGCAUUGAAGUUAAUAAGCUGAAGUAGCAGAAGACUGUCAAUGAGAUCAUUGAUAAUUUUGCAUAAAAAAAUAAUAUCAGCAAUCUUCCUCCAGUAUCAGCAUAUUCAUUUUCUGGAGUACUGACACGUAGUUAUGAUAACGAUUGUGGAUUAAACAAUCACAGUAUAAAAGUAUCACAACUAUGUGUGAGUACUGCAUUUUACUGUAUUUAUAAAUAAUCAUUGACGCCUGAUGUAAGUUUAUCACAGCAGGAAUUUAUACUGUGUUUUUAUAAUAAGCUGAAUGUGUAUAUCUGCUUUAAUGAAGAACUUGAUCGUAUGAUACCGACAUAUUUUAAGUAAGAUAUGACCAAACAAUUAUACAGGAUUUUUAAAGCGUAGGGAUUUCUGAAAUCCCUAGAAAAUCGAAAGAUAAAUCCAAAUUCAUUCGUCUUGUCGGUAAUGUUAAUGAUAUGCUUGGUAAAACAGUCGCUCGUUAUAGAGAAAGCCUAGGUGGCGCUCAUUAUUUACCAGAAGAUAGGUAAGAACCGUCAAGAAUGUAAGCAUAACAGAAUUCUUCUCAUAUUUAAGAAACAUUCUCAUCAUUUGGUACUUGGGUAUGUUUACGUAUAAUUUGUUACAAGCCUAUCAUCUUCAUAACCUAUUAGAGUCUUUUCGUAAUAAGUUCUAUAUUCCAUACAUAUUGACGAAGAAUGUAUCUAAUUAUGAUAAAACAAAAAUCAUGAAGAUUGUACACGUGUAAUUACAAAUGACCUAUAUAUGUACGUACUAUCGUAUGUUAUCAAAUUUUAUAUGCGCAAUACACAUCUUCCUUAACCUUUAACAAUCAUCAAAAUGUACAGAUAUUAAUCAUUACGAAUGUAUAUGUGAGUCAUAACUUUCGUAAGAAGGAACUUUCCUAUGGAAAUUAAAAUCGCCGCAUUCUAC